CAGAAGGGCUAUAACAAGUAUAGAAGGUUAAAGGGAAGAAAAAAAAUGCUGGUACAGUCUUCUAGAAAUCUAUGAAUAAUACAGAUAUUUCCCACAUAACAUUGUGCAGAUUAAAGUACUGGAGGGAACUUGUCAGAGCAUCUGUAACUGAAGGUGGAGAAGGUAAAAAGGAGUUACAAGAGCUCCCUGUUGCCGCUAUCAUCUCUAAAACUGGUUUGCCUUCAUUAAACAUAUAUGAUAAAAUAGCAUUGUCUCAUUAAGCAUAUGUUAGAUUUUAGUAGGAAAAAUGACUCAGAAACAUGCUGACUUAGGGAAAAUAAGUAAUGAUUUUAAAAUAGCAAUGACUAAUCCCCAAAUUGGAUAAUACAAGUAUGGAUAAUUUAGAAUUGACUAUACAUAGAAAAGAUUUGUGGAGCCUACAAAAAUUAAAAUCAAAUUUAAUUUGGGCAAAAUAAAUCUCAAAAAUAUCCCA
rnacentral:lncRNA from 1 species